AUUGAACGCUGGCGGCAGGCCUAACACAUGCAAGUCGAACGAGUGGCGGACGGGUGAGUAAUGUCUGGGAAACUGCCUGAUGGAGGGGGAUAACUACUGGAAACGGUAGCUAAUACCGCAUACCAUCGGAUGUGCCCAGAUGGGAUUAGCUUGUGGGUGGGGUAACGGCUCACCAAGGCGACGAUCCCUAGCUGGUCUGAGAGGAUGACCAGCCACACUGGAACUGAGACACGGUCCAGACUCCUACGGUAGGCAGCAGUGGGGAAUAUUGGACAAUGGGCGAAAGCAUGAUCCAGCCAUGCCGCGUGUGUGAAGAAGGUCUUCGGGUUGUAAAGUACGUUGAGCGGGGAGGCGUUACCCGCAGAAGAAGCACCGGCUAACUCCGUGCCAGCAGCCGCGGUAAUAC
rnacentral:rRNA from 1 species